GUUGGAGAGGAGCGGCAGGGAGAGGAUGGGCGCCGUGAUCCUGAAGGCUGUGAGUGUUGCCAUGUUGGGAGCGUUGGGCAGGCUGGACUUGUGCAUCGCUACUAGUCACCACUCACUACACACGCCACAGUUACCAGGUCAGCAGGUCACACAAUGGUAGUUAUGGUUUAGUACUUUUUUUUCUUUUUUUAACUCUGUGGGAAUUUUGUGGUGAAGAGUGUUUUUCAUUCCUUUUCUGUAGCCAAAAUUUCAACUUUUUUUAUUUACUCUUUUUUUAUCAGCGUUUUUUUCUUUCUUCCAGUCGGGAAGUGAUUGGGAAUACUCGUACUAUGUGUGUGUGUGUGUGUGUGUGUGUGUGUGUGUGUGUGUGUGUGUGUGUGUGUGUGUGUGUGUGUGUGUGUGUGUGUGUGUGUCUUUUUCUUAUUAUUA